CCUCACAGAAAAUACCUUGAUUAUUUAUACAGCAGAUAAGCAGUGUAGUACGAGAAAUAUACUUGUUAUGCCAGUAUAUUAUUGUUAAGCUGGAUACAAAUUCCAGCUUUGAGCUAUUUUGAAAUGCAAAAUUGUGGAUAUUAUAUCUCAAUUUUGCACCUUAUCCACAAAACACGAGAAAAAUGGCACAAUUCCCAAAUCUUCCUCUUGAUACAAUUUAAAGAAUUUCUGUAAGACCCUCAUUUGUUCAGAUAUUAUAUGGUAUUGUUUUACAUUUAUGUGUGAGAAUAAUUAUCUUAAGAUCUGCAUUUUAGGCUAGAAGUGCAAAAUGCCAGACAGGAAGAAACCAUCAAACAUCAAGCGGCCCAAAUUCAAGAUCUUCAGAGCAACUUGUUAAAGACAAGUUUGUUGCAAGAAGCAAAGGAUCAACAUGCAGAGGCCAUAAGAUAUGCUGAGAAGAUGCUAGAAGUGCAACAUGCCAGGCCAGAAGGAACCAUCAAACAGCAAGCGGCCCCAAUUCACAAUCUUCCGAGCAACUUGUUAAGGACAAGUUUAACAGGGGAGACAGAGCGUGAACAGGGGAGGGUCAGAGAGAGGGAGACACAGAAUCUGAAACAGGCUCCAGGCUCCCAGCUGUCAGCACAGAGCCCGAUGCGGGGCUCAAACCCAUGAACCGUGAGAUCGUGACCUGAGCCCAAGUCAGAAGCUUAACUGACUGAGCCACCCAGGCACCCCGAACAUCUCCCUUUUAACGUGAUUAUUAUCCAUUUCUGUAUCGUCUUUAAAGAACUAAUCCAUUCUUUUGCCCGUUAUUAUAUUGGAUUGUCUUUUCAUUAUUGGAAGAGUUAUUUAAAUAUCCUACAUGCAAAUCCCUUAGCAGAUAUGGGAUUUUCAGGUAUUUUCUCCUAUUUAGUCACUUGCCUUUUCACUUUCUUGAUGGUGAUAUUUGAAGCAUAGUAGUUUUUAAUUUUGAUGAAAUAAACUUAAUCUGCUUUUGUCUUUUGGUGUCAUGUCUAAGAAAUCAUUGUUAAAUCCAGUCACAAACACAUACACGUAAGCUUUUUUCUAAGAGUUUUAUCAUUUUAGCUCUUAGAUUUUAAGUUAAUUUUCUAUAUAUGCUAUGGGGUAGAGGUCUGAUUUUAUUGCUUUGCAUGUGGAUAUCCAUUUGUCCCAGUACCGUUUGUUACAAAGACUAGUCUUAUUCCAUUUAAUUGUCUGGCACCCUUGUGGAAAAUCAGUUCACUAUAAUGUGAGAGUUUAUGUUUAGAUUCUCAAUGUUA